rnacentral:tRNA from 1 species
CUGGCAAUAAGGACUAGCUCCUGUACGUGGAUUUACAAUCCACCGCCUCCUCGCUCGGCCAUAUUACC